rnacentral:rRNA from 1 species
UGCGUAGGCGGUUGGUUAAGUCUGUCGUGAAAGCCCUGGGCUCAACCUGGGAAUGGCGAUGGAUACUGGCGAGCUAGAGUGUGAUAGAGGAUGGCGGAAUUCCCGGUGUAGCGGUGAAAUGCGUAGAGAUCGGGAGGAACAUCCGUGGCGAAGGCGGCCAUCUGGAUCAACACUGACGCUGAGGCACGAAAGCGUGGGGAGCAAACA